rnacentral:rRNA from 1 species
AACGAACGCUGGCGGCAGGCCUAACGCAUGCAAGUCGAACGCCCGUAGCAAUACGGGAGUGGCAGACGGGUGAGUAACGCGUGGGAACGUGCCCUUCGGUUCGGAAUAACUCAGGGAAACUUGAGCUAAUACCGGAUACGUCCGUAAGGAGAAAGAUUUAUCGCCGAAGGAUCGGCCCGCGUCGGAUUAGCUAGUUGGUGAGGUAAUGGCUCACCAAGGCGACGAUCCGUAGCUGGUCUGAGAGGAUGAUCAGCCACACUGGGACUGAGACACGGCCCAGACUCCUACGGGAGGCAGCAGUGGGGAAUAUUGGACAAUGGGCGAAAGCCUGAUCCAGCCAUGCCGCGUGAGUGAAGAAGGCCUUAGGGUUGUAAAGCUCUUUCAGCGGGGAAGAUAAUGACGGUACCCGCAGAAGAAGCCCCGGCUAACUUCGUGCCAGCCGCCGCCGU